rnacentral:rRNA from 1 species
UGAAGUAAGUAAGGGCGUACGGUGAAUGCCUUGGUGCCAACAGGCGAAGAAGGACGCGGCAAGCUGCGAAAAGCCUCGGGAAGCUGCAAGCAAGCGAUGAUCCGGGGAUAUCCGAAUGGGGUAACCUGAUCGAGGCAAUACUCGAUCGUUCAUACCUGAACACAUAGGGUAUGAAACGCGAAACCCGCUGAAGUGAAACAUCUCAGUAAGCGGAGGAAAAGAAAGAGAAAUCGAUUCCGUAAGUAGUGGCGAGCGAAAGCGGAUGGAGCCCAAACCGAAGGUAUUCCUUCGGGGUUGUAGGACCACGUCAUAUUCGACCAUACUGGAUAGUAGAACAGCCUGGAAAGGCUGGCCGGAGAAGGUGAAAGCCCUGUAGACGAAAUCCAGAGUGGGAAUUAGUGGUAUCCUGAGUAAUACAUCACACGUGGAACGAUGUAUGAACCCGCGCGGACCACCGCGCAAGGCUAAAUACUAGUUGGCGACCGAUAGUGAACAAGUACCGCGAGGGAAAGGUGAAAAGAACCGCUGUGAGCGGAGUGAAACAGAACCUGAAACCGUAUGUCUACAAAGUGUCAGAGCAGAGCAAUCUGCGAUGGCGUGCCUUUUGUUUAAUGAGUCUGCGAGUCAGUGUUUGUGGCAAGACUAAGGGCUUCCGGCCCGGAGUCGCAGCGAAAGCAAGUCCGAACAGGGCGCAAUAAGUCGCAGGUACUGGACCCGAAGCGGAGGUGACCUACCCUUGGCCAGGUUGAAGCAUGGGUAAAACCAUGUGGAGGACCGAACAGGUGAACGUUGAAAAGUUCUCUGAUGAGCUGAGGGUAGGAGUGAAAGGCUAAUCAAACCCCGUGAUAGCUGGUUCUCUUCGAAAUGCAUUUAGGUGCAGCGUCACGUGCUGAUGCGCGGGGGUAGAGCACUGACAAGGCUAGGGGGCACACCCGCUUACCAAACCUUAUCAAACUCCGAAUACCGUGCAAUGGAACGUGGCAGUGAGACAGUGGGGGAUAAGCUUCAUUGUCGAGAGGGAAACAACCCAGACCAGCAGCUAAGGUGCCUAAAUAACGCUCAGUGGAAAGGAUGUGGGAUUACACAGACAGUGAGGAUGUUGGCUUAGAAGCAGCCACCAUUUAAAAAAUGCGUAAUAGCUUACUCAUCGAGUGAUCCUGCGCCGAAAAUGAUUGGCGAUCAAGCGUUAUACCGAAGCUCUGGACUUUGCCGCAAGGCAGAGUGGUAGAAGAGCGUUGCAUGCGCGUCGAAGGGCGAUGGCGACUGACCCUGGAGCACAUGCAAGUGAGUAUGCAGACAUGAGUAACGUUAAGCCGGGUGAAAUCCCCGGCCGCCGUAAACCCGAGGUUUCCAGGGCAACGUGUUUCGUCCCUGGGUUAGCCGGGACCUAAGCCGAGGCCGAGAGGCGUAGGCGAUGGACAUCAGGUUAAUAAUCCUGAGCUCGCAACCCUUAAACUGGGGGGACGCAUGAGAAAAGAUGACUAGGUUAUUGAAUUCCGAGUUGAGUCCACGGACUCAGCGCAUCAUUGGAUCGAGUGCCAAGAAAAGCCCCAGCGUAUGCUAAGCGACCCGUACCGCAAACCGACACAGGUGGGUGGGUAGAAUAUACCAAGGCGUAAGAGUGAAACCUGGUUAAGGAACUCGGCAAAUUAGCCCCGUAACUUCGGAAGAAGGGGUGCCUGCAGCGAUGCAGGCCGCAGAGAAAUGGCCCAACCGACUGUUUAUCAAAAACACAGCACUCUGCAAAGACGCAAGUCGAAGUAUAGGGUGUGACACGUGACCAAUGCCGAAAGAUUAAGGCAAGGGGUUAGCCGCAAGGCGAAGCUCUAAACCCAAGUCCCGGUGAAUGUCGGCCGUAACUAUAACGGUCCUAAGGUAGCGAAAUUCCUUGUCGGGUAAGUUCCG